UACGAAGGGGGCUAGCGUUGCUCGGAAUCACUGGGCGUAAAGGGUGCGUAGGCGGGUCUUUAAGUCAGGGGUGAAAUCCUGGAGCUCAACUCCAGAACUGCCUUUGAUACUGAAGAUCUUGAGUUCGGGAGAGGUGAGUGGAACUGCGAGUGUAGAGGUGAAAUUCGUAGAUAUUCGCAAGAACACCGGUGGCGAAGGCGGCUCGCUGGGCCAAUGCUGACGCUGAGGCGCGAAAGCGUGGGGAGCAAACAGG
rnacentral:rRNA from 1 species